UGGGCGAAAGCCUGAUCCAGCCAUGCCGCGUGUGUGAAGAAGGUCUUCGGAUUGUAAAGCACUUUAAGUUGGGAGGAAGGGCAGUAAAUUAAUACUUUGCUGUUUUGACGUUACCGACAGAAUAAGCACCGGCUAACUCUGUGCCAGCAGCCGCGGUAAUACANAGGGUGCAAGCGUUAAUCGGAAUUACUGGGCGUAAGGCGCGCGUAGGCGGACGCGUAAGUCGAUUGUGAAAGCCCUGGGCUUAACCUGGGAAUGGCAGUCGAAACUACCCAUCUUGAGUGCCUGAGAGGAUGGCGGAAUUCCCGGUGUAGUAGUGAAAUACNUAGAUAUCGGGAAGAACACCUGAGGCGGAGGCGGCUAUCUGGCGGUGCACUGACGCUGAGGCGCGAAAGCGUGGGGAGCGAACAGGAUUAGAUACCCU
rnacentral:rRNA from 1 species